UGGGGAAUCUUCCGCAAUGGACGAAAGUCUGACGGAGCAACGCCGCGUGAGUGAAGAAGGCCUUCGGGUUGUAAAGCUCUGUUAUUCGGGAAGAACGAUUCGUUUAUGAACAAUGAACGGAAGUGACGGUACCGAAAGAGAAAGCCACGGCUAACUACGUGCCAGCAGCCGCGGUAAUACGUAGGUGGCAAGCGUUGUCCGGAAUUAUUGGGCGUAAAGAGCGCGUAGGCGGUAUGAUAAGUCUGUCUUAGAAGUGCGGGGCUUAACCCCGUGAGGGGACAGAGACUGUCAUACUAGAGUCUCGGAGAGGAAAGCGGAAUUCCUAGUGUAGCGGUGAAAUGCGUAGAGAUUAGGAAGAACACCGGUGGCGAAGGCGGCUUUCUGGACGAGCACUGACGCUGAGGCGCGAAAGCGUGGGGAGCGAACAGG
rnacentral:rRNA from 1 species